rnacentral:rRNA from 1 species
UACGUAGGGCGCAAGCGUUGUCCGGAAUUAUUGGGCGUAAAGAGCUCGUAGGCGGCUUGUCACGUCGGGUGUGAAAACCCGAGGCUUAACCUCGGGCCUGCAGUCGAUACGGGCAGACUAGAGUUCGGUAGGGGAGACUGGAAUUCCUGGUGUAGCGGUGAAAUGCGCAGAUAUCAGGAGGAACACCGGUGGCGAAGGCGACAUCCUGGACCAACACUGACGCUGAGGAGCGAAAGCGUGGGGAGCAAACAGG